UCUGAAUUAGGGUUUAAGAGUGCUAUGAUUGUAAAAGUAAUUCCUCGUACUGAAAGCCAAUGGCUUGAAAGACUCACAUUACUACCCAUAGAAUAUGAGCACUCACUCUUCUAAAUCCAGU
rnacentral:sRNA from 1 species